CUUUAGCCCAACUUUACGGAGAAACUACGGGUCAGAGAGGCGGAGUGACUUGCCCAAGGCCACAUGGCUGGGAGGGGACAGAGCAGGGAUUCAGACUCAUACCUGUCAGAUCCCAAUGCCCAGGGCCUUUCCAUUACACCUCGUCGGCCUUUUCUAGCUGUCACUGUGUGCCAGGCGCUGCAUGCAAAGCCUGGAAGAGGAUCGGAAGCCGCUGUACGACUUUCUGCCCACAUGGAGGGAAACAAGUCUCCGGAAUGUGUAAUCAACACAGUCUGACCCUCAUCUGGUGCAGGAAAUUGCACAAAUGGUCCCAGUUCUUCACCUCUCCCCGUAUCCACAUCCGUAUCUGCGCACAUCCAUAUGACUUGGGAAUUCUUCUUCUAAGAAGGUGGAAUAGAGCCCCCACCCCUUCACCUUGGGUUCAGCCCUAUGGCUUAACCAAUGGGAUGCUGGCAUGUACGACAUAACUAAAGGCUUGUAAAGUGCUUACCUGAUUGGGCUCCUUCUCUUGGGCCUCUGCCCUCUUUGCCAUGAGAAUAUGCCCCCCUGGUGCCAGGAGGAGGACCAGGGACACACAGAGCAGGACCAAACCAUCCCAAUCAGGUCCAGCUGAGAUCAACCAGUCUCAGAGGUAUAAGCAACUCCAGUCAAGCCCGGCCAAGCCCCGCCAAGAUCAACCAACUCUUAGCCGAUCUGGAAUAAAUGACUUGUUUUGAGUCACUGAGCGUGGAGUGGCUCGGUUUGCAGCAUUUUCUGGCAGUAGGUAACUGAUAAGCCACCUCUUGUAGAUCUCACCUUCCUGAUGUCUUUUGGGCACACCCCUCCUCUCCAUCCCCUUGCCUCAGUACCAGCCUCCUAACAGCCUCCUACCUGGGCUUCCUGUCUCCAGUCUCACACACUCUAAUCCGUUCCUCACGCUGCAUCCAGAUCUUUGUGAUAUCUGAUGAUGGCUGUCUCUACCUGUUACCCUCUUU
rnacentral:lncRNA from 1 species